rfam:Ictidomys tridecemlineatus contig072587, whole genome shotgun sequence.
AGGGUUGUGGCUCAGUGGUAGAGCACUUGCCUGGCACGUGUGAGGCACUGGGUUUGAUUCUCAGCACUACUG